rnacentral:lncRNA from 1 species
CCGCCGAAUGCCGAGCAUGCCGUUUCCUAUUGUGAUAUGCUUGCGGUGACAAAGACCACAGAAAAGAGGCUUGCCCAAAUCCUAUAAAAUGCUUUUUUUGGAGAAGUUUUGGUCAUAGAGCUCAUUCGUGCAAAGGUUGUCCACUAGUAUACACCAGACAGAAGGGGGAGCUGAAUCCAAAGUCUAUGCAAAGCAGGUGCACUCAGCCACUGGGGAGACAAAGAGCCUCUUCCAAAUCAAUGGCAAGCCUGACUACCCUCCAGCAUCAUCAUCAGUGAUUGGCCUUUAGAACCACAAAGCCCUUGUCACUAUCUCUUCUGAAAUGGAGGAAACAGAGUUCUACUUAAAGCGUGCAGCAUUCGUUGAAGCAUAUGGAAGACCUGUAAUAACCCGAUCUUAAUCACCCAAAAAACAAAAAAAACUUCGCGCGUGCGUUGCGCAUGAGGAAGAAGCGGAAGACUCCCGAUGGGAGUCCUCGAGAGUCUUCCUCUUCUCCGACUCCAUCGGAGAAUAGGACCGUCAUAUGGCCGAAAGAAACAUGGAUUUUAGCCUAUGAAUAGAGACCCCUUUCCUCCCUUGUUGCUUACCUCAAAUCCUUGAAGAAAUUGCCACUGAUUUGAGUCAUUCCGUUGAGCUUUCCUUGGGUUUCCACCAGAGAGAUCGCCAGAUCUCUCGCCAUAGGUGUCGCCGGACCGAGGUAAGACUUUCUCUCGUUUCCUCUUUCUCUUUCUAGUCUCUCCGUCGCCAGAUUUGGUUCGAUAAGCCGUCGGUCGUGGUGGAUAGGGUCCUUCCUUUACUCUCCAAUUUUUCCGUUGCUUCGUGGAUCACCAGUGGCUACGACCGCCACCGGGGUCAUCUCUUGGUCGGUGUUGCGCGCCGUUGUUGGUUGCCGGUCUGGUUUGACACCUGUGGCCGGGUCAAGAAGGGAAGGGAAACAGGGGACUCGGUCACCCUGUUUAAAAGAAGAAGAA